GCCCACCGGCGCCUCCGCAUAAUUUGUGACAUUUCUCCGCAAUAUCAUUUUCUGAGGGUGGUCCUGUGGAGGUCCCUAUAGCUAAACGCUUAUGGGUGGUUUUACUGACACCACAGCUAAAAAUAUGACUAACAUCAUAACCUGACAUAGUUUUAAUCAUUAUAUUUCUGUGAACUCGUUAGGUAACAUUCGUUUUAGCCCAAGUUUGAAGUGUUCCCAGUUUGGUGAAAGAGUUUAGGCAGCCAUAUACUUCGAUCAUUGCCUUUUGAAAUUUACAGUAAUGCUUGUCCAUGAGUUUUUUGUUGGGGGUUCAGUCUUUCGUUGAUAGUUUACCAUAACUAGUGUCAUGUACUCCCUCUUUUAACCACAGUUGGGAGUGCAUUUUUUAUGUGUUGAUUAAAUUGUUACCAGGUGCAAGUUUUUGUUGUGAGAAUGGUAUUGGUAGCAUGCAUUAAAAAUGCAACAUACGAAGUGCUUUGACUACUUUCUAUGUAUUUGAUGCUUAUAAUUUAAUCCUUUUAGGAAUGUGUGUGCGUGUGUGGUUGCUAGGGAUGCAAGUGGUUAUACCAGUGCUUGAUUCUGGCCCAGCUAUUUCUACCCUAUUUGCUUUUCCUUGAAAGCCAAAUCAAAUGGGUUUUGAGUCAACCUAAUGAUCCAAAGAGAGCAAAACUGGCAUCCCUAGUGGUUGCUCAUUCGUUUCUAGCAUUUUCUAGAUUAGUUAUUUUCGUUCUUACUACAGAUCAUUCAUGUGGUUCCUAUCCAAUAUAUCCCCUAACAUCUAUUUCCUUAUCUUUCAGGUAUGCCAUCACAAAAGCUUUUGUUAUAGCUUUUGUGAUGACUUUCUUCUUAGUGUUUGACGUUCCUGUCUUCUGGCCUAUACUCCUCUACUACUGGAUUGUUCUCUUUGUCCUUACAAUGAAGCGCCAGAUUGUACAAAUGAUCAAAUACAAAUAUGUGCCUUUUAGUAUCCGGAAGCAAAAAUAUGGUGGGAAGAAGAGUGUCGUGAGCACCAGUUCCUCAAAAGACUGGUUUCGAACUUGCCCCAGUAGGAACUUGCCAGGGGAACAAGAUACGGUGGAUGAUGAUGUUUGAUGUGCUCCAUACCAAGUGUAAUACUUCAUUCAUAUCUAGGAGGUAGAUAGAUUUUCGCUCCUGUUUCUGACUUUGGGCUCACUGUUUAAUUCCAUGUUGUGCUUAGGUUGCUUCCUCCUAUGCUUGUAUAGCGAGUUUCGCGUCUCGGAUAAAUUAUUUUGUUUUACUUACUACGUAUCUGGGCCCUAAAACAAUAAGCUCUAUGCUCUCAUCAAGUUUGGUAUGAGAUAUUGUGUCUUAUUAGUACUGGAUGAGAUGUGCCUUAUUAUGAUUAUGGAUAAGACUUUUGUGAUGUAAUUGAUGAGACUAUGGAUUUAAAUAUUGUUAUGUGAUUGUGUGUGA